GUGAACGCUGGCGGUAGGCCUAACACAUGCAAGUCGAACGGCAGCACAGUAAGAGCUUGCUCUUACGGGUGGCGAGUGGCGGACGGGUGAGGAAUACAUCGGAAUCUACUUUUUCGUGGGGGAUAACGUAGGGAAACUUACGCUAAUACCGCAUACGACCUACGGGUGAAAGCAGGGGAUCUUCGGACCUUGCGCGAUUGAAUGAGCCGAUGUCGGAUUAGCUAGUUGGCGGGGUAAAGGCCACCAAGGCGACGAUCCGUAGCUGGUCUGAGAGGAUGAUCAGCCACACUGGAACUGAGACACGGUCCAGACUCCUACGGGAGGCAGCAGUGGGGAAUAUUGGACAAUGGGCGCAAGCCUGAUCCAGCCAUACCGCGUGGGUGAAGAAGGCCUUCGGGUUGUAAAGCCCUUUUGUUGGGAAAGAAAAGCAGCAGGUUAAUACCCCGCUGUUCUGACGGUACCCAAAGAAUAAGCACCGGCUAACUUCGUG
rnacentral:rRNA from 1 species